GUAGUUAACAGCGCUGUUUCCAUGGAGACUGAAGUAUCUCCUAGACGCGAAUGGAUCUUUUCGACUUCUUUGGCCUGUUAGCAAAUAUUAAAUUAAACGGCAUAUUAUAUAGAUAAACAGCAAGUAUAGUUAUUGUCGAUAAUAAUAGCAACUUGAGGGAACUUUCUGACUUUAAAUGGAGGUAAAUAAAUGUAAAAGUUUAAUGCCAACGAGUCGCUGACGUUAAAAAUGGAUGCUUAUGAGAAUAACACAAUUAUGCUUGAGCUAAAUAAUCAAGUCAUCACUUAUACUGAUGAAGAAGAGCAGGAGAGUUUUUCAUUUCACGAAGACACGGACUCGGAUGAAAUCCCCCAAUCCCUGCUCAGCUACUUUGAAACCUCAAAAAGCAGAGCAGCAGUUUGUGAGAAGCUCAUCCUUGAGGAACUUGAAGAGAUGGAAGCACUUUUCCUCCUCAAUGUGUCCGUGUGUCCCAACAAUGAAGGUACAGUGUGUAAAUUCCAUCUAUUUCCUCUCUUUUCCUUUUUUCCUUGCACUGUUGAGGCCUUGCUGAAGGUCUGA
rnacentral:lncRNA from 1 species